GACUGGAGAUGGAGCAAGAAUUCGGAAAGGUCUGGGAAAAAGGUAGGGGAGAGAGAGAAGUAGUAAAGAGAAGAGGGCAGAGAGAAGAGAAGAUUCGACAACCCAAAGAAGAGAGAAGAGAAAGAGGAUUCGUUAGAGGGGACUAACGAUCUAUUCUGUCAAAAGAAAAACAAGAAGAGAAAUAAAAAAGAAUAAAAGGAAAAGCAGGAAAACAAAUGAGCAAACCCGAAAGGUACCCACAUUCUUUAGCAAUAUUCGGCACAAGCAAAACGUGAAAGAAAAACUGACCAAAUCAAAGCACACGGAGAGAAAAAAACCCUAAAACCGAUUCCCACAAAGCCUAAAGGCCAAAUUCGACACAAGUCUACCCCCAAACGGCACUAUUCCUCAUUGAUUUUCUCCACCAAUUCCUCCUCAACUUCCCCAACCACUCUAUUCAACAUUCAUUCAAAC
rnacentral:lncRNA from 1 species